rnacentral:rRNA from 1 species
GGAGAGGGCUAGCGUUAUUCGGAAUUAUUGGGCGUAAAGGGCGCGUAGGCGGAUUAGUAAGUUAAAAGUGAAAUCCCAAGGCUCAACCUUGGAAUUGCUUUUAAAACUGCUAAUCUAGAGAUUGAAAGAGGAUAGAGGAAUUCCUAGUGUAGAGGUGAAAUUCGUAAAUAUUAGGAGGAACACCAGUGGCGAGGGCGUCUAUCUGGUUCAAAUCUGACGCUGAGGCGCGAAGGCGUGGGGAGCAAACAGGAUUAGAUACCCUGGUAGUCCACGCUGUAAACGAUGAAUGUUAAAUAUGGGGAGUUUACUUUCUGUAUUACAGCUAACGCGUUAAACAUUCCGCCUGGGGACUACGGUCGCAAGAUUAAAACUCAAAGGAAUUGACGGGGACCCGCACAAGCGGUGGAGCAUGUGGUUUAAUUCGAUGCAACGCGAAAAACCUUACCACUCCUUGACAUGGAAAUUAUACCUAUUCGAAGGGAUAGGGUCGGUUCGGCCGGGUUUCACACAGGUGU